CGAACUCCUACGGGAGGCAGCAGUGAGGAAUAUUGGUCAAUGGGCGAGAGCCUGAACCAGCCAAGUAGCGUGCAGGAUGACGGCCCUAUGGGUUAGUAAACUGCUUUUAUAAGGGAAUAAAGUGAGUCUCGUGAGACUUUUUGCAUGUACCUUAUGAAUAAGGACCGGCUAAUUCCGUGC
rnacentral:rRNA from 1 species